rnacentral:rRNA from 1 species
AGGGUUUGAUUAUGGCUCCGGAUUGAACGCUGGCGGGAUGCUUUACACAUGCAAAUCGAACGGCAGCACGGACUUCAGUCCUGGUGGCGAGUGGCGGACCGGUGAGCUGUCUGUCGGAACGUGCCUAGUAGCGGGGGAUAACUACGCGAAAGCGUAGCUAAUACAUGCGCCCUUCGAAGAGAAAGCAGGGGACCUUCGGGCCUCGCACUAUUAGAGAAGCGGCCGAUAUCGAGUUGGUUAGUUGGUGGGGUAACGGCUCGCAAGGCGACGAUCCGUAGCUGGUUUGAGAGGACGACAAGCACACUGGGACUGAGACCUGGCCAGACUCCUACGGGGAGGCAGCGGUGAAUUUUUGGACAAUGGAAACCUGAUCCAGCCAUCCCGCGUGCGAUGAAGGCAUUCGGGUUGUAAAAAGCAUACUGGCGGAAAGAAACGGCACCGGGAUAAUGCCCCGUGCAGCGACAAUACCUGCGAAUAGCACCGGCUAACUACGUGCCAGCAGCCGCGGUAAUACUGUGGGUGCAAGCGUUAAUCAACUACUGGGCGUAAAGCGUGCGGGCGGUUCAGAAGAAAGAUGUGAGAAUCCCAGAGCUAACUUUGGAACUGCAUUUUAACUACCAGCCAGAAGUGUGUCAGGGAGGUGAAUUCCCGCGUGUAGCAGUGAAAUGCGUAGAUAUGCGGAGGAACACCGUGUGAAGGCGGCCUCCUGGGUCCUUUGACGCUCAUGCACGAAAGCAUUAAGGGAGCAAACAGGAUUAGAUACCCCUGGUAGUCCCACGCCCUAAACAUGAUGUCAACUAGCUGUUUGAGGCCUGGACGCUUGGUAGCGCAGCUGCGUGAAGUUGACCGCCUGGGAGUACGGUCGCAGAUUAAAACUCAAAGGAAUUGACGGGGACCCGCACAAGCGGUGGAUGAUGUGGACUAAUUCAGUGCGAAAGCAUGAAAAGCCUUACCUAUGCGACAUGCUCUGGAAUCCCGAAAGAGAUUGCGGGAUGCUCGCAAGAACCGGAACACAGGUGCUGCAUGGCUGUCCGUCAGCUCGUGUCGUGAGAUGUUGGGUUAAGUCACGCAACGAGCGCAACCGCCAUUAAUUAGUUGCUACGAAGGAGCGCUCUAAUGUGAGACUGCCGGUGACAAACUGGAGGAAGGUGGGGAUGACGUCAAGUCCUCGCUGGCCCGCUAUGGGUAGGGCUUCGCACGUCAUACAAUGGUCCGGGACAGAGGUCGCAACCCGCGAGGAGCCAAUCCCGAGCGAUCGUAGUCCGGAUCGCGGUCUGCAACUCGACUGCGUGAAGUCGGAAUCCUUGUGUCUAACAGGAUCGGCAUGUCGCGGUGAAUACGUUCCGGAUGCUUGUACACACCGCCCGUCACACCAUGAAAUUGGGUUUUACCAGAAGUAGUUAGCUAGCCGUAAAGGAGGGCGAUUACCACGGUAGGAUUCAUGGCUAGGUGAAGUCGUAACCAAGGUAG